UCAGUUGAAAGAGGCUUAACUGAUCAGAUGGACAAAAAUACAAUGGAUGUACCGGUACUUGUACUAAUAAAAAAAUCAUGCAUCUAAGACUAAACUAUCAAUUUACACAUCAACAUCCAAUUGAUUUAGUGUAAAGACGUCAAACAGUCAGAGAAAACCUUGUGCAAUGCCAAGUUACAGGUAUCGACAGAUUGUAGAUUCAUGAAUGUGUAUAUGUAUUUAACAUACUAGUAAUAUUUUGUUUGCUUUUAAUUUGCUGAUAACAAAAUCAAUAUUUAU
rnacentral:lncRNA from 1 species